AAUGCAUUAAGGGUGUUUCCUUUGCUAAGAAAGCGUAUAAAAGUGCUAGUCAGUACAGGUGGUUCUAUCGACUCCUCUUGACUUCAUCUGCCUGGUGCACUGGGUUCACAACACUCGCCGACGAUGACAUUUCCAUGUGCUCCGCGAUGCCACCCGUGUCCCGACUUAUGCCCAGAGCCAUGCGCCGUUGUCUGCAAUGAUCCAUGUGUCACAUCCUGCGGUGACUCCACAGCCGUGGUCUUUGCUCCACCAGUGGCUAUCAGAUUCCCGGGACCAACUCUUGCCACUUGUGCGCAAGACAGUGUUGUGGGAAGCUCUGCACCAUGGCUCCCCUAUGGCCCCUAUGGCCCCUCUAGGGGUGGUGCUGGGGGUGGUGCUGGGAGCGGUGCCGGGGGCGGUGUUUACGGUGGUGUUUUUGGGGGUGGUGUUUAUGGUGGUGCUCUUGGGGGUGGAUCUGGAAGUGGAUUUGGGGGUUGUUCUGGUGGUGGCUAUGGGGGCUCCUUUAGACAAUGGUCGAGAUAUGAUCGGAAGUGCUAUGCUAACCGAUAUGACUGUUGUCCGCCAUGUUAAACCCAGACAAAAGCUCCAAGGAACCGAAACCAAGCAGGAAAAGAAUGACACUAUGGAAAUUCCCGAUGCAACUGUUGGUGCAGGAACAUCUACAAUUCCACUCCAUGCCGGGGGGUUGUGGGUGAUCUUCACUUUAUGAACUGGACUUACCAAUGUCUUCCUAUGCUACCUAGUACCUGAGCACUAUGGUCUGUCUCGUUCUGGGACUUUGUCUCAUGCUUGUAGCUUGCCUUGUCCUUUCUCGUGCUGAGCCCUUUACAGCCAGCGAGUAAAACCGCUCCCAAAUGUGACACCAUUUUCAAGCCCUGCAGCUGCAGGAAGUGAGUGAACACGCUGUGUGGAACCCCUCACAUCGCUGCUGGUGACUGCUCUUGCUUUCCCUGUGCUCCUGGAAAUGCGUUCUCUGUGUUCUGUAUCAAUGAAUUCUUUCAGUGUGCACCCUGGGGCCAUUUCCCAUUAAAAUUGUUUUCUGCAUUAUA